rnacentral:sRNA from 1 species
UGAAGAGACCCAGAAUGGAGUGGAUAGCAAUGUAGGAGAAGACAGUGAUAGCUUAGGAAACUCCAAGUCCAGUAAAGCCAGUAUAACACCUCCAGCUAAAGAGAAGAGAAAACCUUUCUUCAAAAAGUCUGAAAGUGCCCCACCUUAUGAAGUUGUGCCUUCCAUGCGCCCCGUAGUUCUCAUUGGGCCGUCUCUCAAGGGCUAUGAGGUGACAGACAUGAUGCAGAAGGCACUUUUUGACUUCCUGAAACACAGAUUUGAAGGACGAAUUAUAAUAACAAGAGUAACUGCUGACAUCUCAUUGGCCAAGAGGUCAUUGUUGAAUAAUCCAAGUAAACGAGCCAUUAUGGAAAGAACCAACCCCAGGGCCUCAGGUUUA